rnacentral:rRNA from 1 species
AAAUUGAAGAGUUUGAUCAUGGCUCAGAUUGAACGCUGGCGGCAGGCCUAACACAUGCAAGUCGAACGGUAACAGGAAGCAGCUUGCUGCUUCGCUGACGAGUGGCGGACGGGUGAGUAAUGUCUGGGAAACUGCCUGAUGGAGGGGGAUAACUACUGGAAACGGUAGCUAAUACCGCAUAAUGUCGCAAGACCAAAGAGGGGGACCCUCGGGCCUCUUGCCAUCGGAUGUGCCCAGAUGGGAUUAGCUUGUUGGUGGGGUAACGGCUCACC